UACAGCCGCUAUUGGAACCUAAAGCAUCGGCAGCCGAAAACUUUCGGUCAUCUCCGAUAAUUUCCGCGUUUCGCCGAACAACGCCAACACUUCCUGUCGUCACAGCGAGCGAAAAAUGGCUGCCGACAGAGGAGAAGAGAAAGGUCGCCGAGUGUGCUGGGAUCUGGUGGGCGAGAUGUCUGACAGUGUGACCUCCCUACUGUUGCCGAAACUCCGUCGACAGAGAUUAUACAUGGAGUCUGACCAAUACCAAAGUCUUCCAAUGUGCCAGAGUCACCAGCUGUGAUUUUCACAGAAAGAGGUCACAGUCUGCAGAAGUGUUCAAGACUUGAGCAACAAGAUGACACAAGUUUCCUGGAUGUGUCUCACUUAGAUGAGACACCGAUCAAUCUUCCAGGAUAGAUGAGACAUUGUUUGUUGCAGCAGAGACUGAG
rnacentral:lncRNA from 1 species